rnacentral:rRNA from 1 species
AACAGAGGGGGCAAGCGUUGCUCGGAAUCACUGGGCGUAAAGGGCGUGCAGGCGGUUUGUUAAGUUCAGGGUGAAAGCUCCCGGCUCAACUGGGAGAGGUCCUUGGAUACUGGCAGACUUGAGGAGGGUAGAGGAGAGUGGAAUUCCCGGUGUAGUGGUGAUAUGCGUAGAUAUCGGGAGGAACACCAGUGGCGAAGGCGGCUCUCUGGGCCCUACCUGACGCUGAGACGCGAAAGCGUGGGGAGCGAACCGG